ACACAGAGCAGUAUCUGCUUCGCCGAUGCGGGCACUGCAUUCUAUCAGCGAGCUUGCAAAAGAGGAGGAAGCAGGUGAAGAGUAAACUGAGAUUGGAUAUAAUCAAUCGAACAUGUAACCAUUCUAUGCAUAUAAAUCAAUAAU
rnacentral:ribozyme from 1 species